AUUGAACGCUGGCGGCAGGCCUAACACAUGCAAGUCGAGCGGAUGAAGGGAGCUUGCUCCUGGAUUCCGCGGCGGACGGGUGAGUAAUGCCUAGGAAUCUGCCUGGUAGUGGGGGAUAACGUCCGGAAACGGGCGCUAAUACCGCAUACGUCCUGAGGGAGAAAGUGGGGGAUCUUUGGACCUCACGCUAUCAGAUGAGCCUAGGUCGGAUUAGCUAGUUGGUGGGGUAAAGGCCUACCAAGGCGACGAUCCGUAACUGGUCUGAGAGGAUGAUCAGGCACACUGGAACUGAGACACGGUCCAGACUCCUACGGGAGGCAGCAGUGGGGAAUAUUGGGCAAUGGGCGAAAGCCUGAUCCAGCCAUGCCGCGUGUGUGAAGAAGGUCUUCGGAUUGUAAAGCACUUUAAGUUGGGAGGAAGGGCAGUAAGUUAAUACCUUGCUGUUUUGACGUUACCAACAGAAUAAGCACCGGCUAACUUCGUG
rnacentral:rRNA from 1 species